UUAAAGAGAUUGGUCUGCGAAGGCCUCCUUGAGAAGGUGACUUCUGAGCAAGUUCUGAAGGAUAGGAGGGAGGGAGUCAUGAGG